rnacentral:rRNA from 1 species
GACGGAAGGCCCUUCGGGGUACUCGAGUGGCGAACGGGUGAGUAACACGUGGGUGAUCUGCCCUGCACUUUGGGAUAAGCCUGGGAAACUGGGUCUAAUACCGAAUAUGACCGCACACUUCCUGGUGUGUGGUGGAAAGCUUUUGCGGUGUGGGAUGGGCCCGCGGCCUAUCAGCUUGUUGGUGGGGUAAUGGCCUACCAAGGCGACGACGGGUAGCCGGCCUGAGAGGGUGACCGGCCACACUGGGACUGAGAUACGGCCCAGACUCCUACGGGAGGCAGCAGUGGGGAAUAUUGCACAAUGGGCGCAAGCCUGAUGCAGCGACGCCGCGUGAGGGAUGACGGCCUUCGGGUUGUAAACCUCUUUCAAUAGGGACGAAGCGCAAGUGACGGUACCUAUAGAAGAAGGACCGGCCAACUACGUGCCAGCAGCCGCGGUAAUACGUAGGGUCCGAGCGUUGUCCGGAAUUACUGG